rnacentral:piRNA from 1 species
UGCUGAUGAUGAGGAAGACGA